GACGAACGCUGGCGGCGUGCUUAACACAUGCAAGUCGAACGGAAAGGCCCUGCUUUUGUGGGGUGCUCGAGUGGCGAACGGGUGUGUAACACGUGAGUAACCUGCCCUUGACUCUGGGAUAACUUCAGGAAACUGGGGCUAAUACCGGAUAGGAGCUCCUGCUGCAUGGUGGGGGUUGGAAAGUUUCGGCUGUUGGGGAUGGACUCGCGGCUUAUCAGCUUGUUGGUCGGGUAGUGGCUUACCAAGGCUUUGACGGGUAGCCGGCCUGAGAGGGUGACCGGCCACAUUGCGACUGAGGUACGGACCAGACUCCUACGGUAGGCAGCAGGGGGGAAUAUUGCACAAUGGGCGGAAGCCUGAUGCAGCAGCGUCGCGUGCGGGAUGACGGCUUUCGGGUUAUAAACCGCUUUCGCCUGAGACGAAGCGUGAGUGACGGUAAUGGGUAAAGAAGCACCGGCUAACUACGUG
rnacentral:rRNA from 1 species